UGGCUCAACAAAAUAUGAGGGUGUGGUUUGCUGGCAACAGCGUCCGCCCCAAGUAUUUUUCACCCAUGUCUUUUGCGCACUUUUUGUUUCCUGGGCGAGUUCGCUCGCCACCAGGACCCAACCAUAAACCUUUUUUUAUGCAGUUGCAAUCAGCGUCAGUAUAAUAAUUCAAUUUAUUAAAACUUUCAACAACGGAUCUCUUGGUUCUGGCAUCGAUGAAGAACGCAGCGAAAUGCGAUACGUAGUGUGAAUUGCAGAAUUCAGUGAAUCAUCGAAUCUUUGAACGCACAUUGCGCCCUUUGGUAUUCCAAAGGGCAUGCCUGUUCGAGCGUCAUUUGUACCCUCAAGCUUUGCUUGGUGUUGGGCGUCUUUUUGUCUCUCCCCUUGUUGGGGGAGACUCGCCUUAAAACGAUUGGCAGCCGACCUACUGGUUUUCGGAGCGCAGCACAAAUUUGCGCCUUCCAAUCCACGGGGCGGCAUCCAGCAAGCCUUUGUUUUCUAUAACAAAUCCACAUUUUGACCUCGGAUCAGGUAGGGAUACCCGCUGAACUUAAGCAUAUCAAUAAGCGGAGGAA
rnacentral:rRNA from 1 species